AAGAAUCCAAAGAAGAACGAGGAAAAGAAAAAGUUGUGGAAUAGUCCCUAAAUUUCAAUAUCUUCUACAAAUUAGCCGGAUUGACUUGAAGUGAAGUGGGUAGAUCGGAUCAACACAACAAAGCACACUAUCCAGAUCAAUUCCGGUAGCUUUUGUUUUAUGUUUGAAGAUUUAUAUGGCAUGUAUAGAGUUUAAAUGAAAUGAAGUAAAGAUGUUAUAAACUAGUUAACAACAUUUUGUACUAAAAUAGUUUUUGGUUAGUAGCAGUAGUCUGAGUUUGAAAA